rnacentral:rRNA from 1 species
AGAUUGAACGCUGGCGGCAUGCCUUACACAUGCAAGUCGAACGGCAGCAUGAUCUAGCUUGCUAGAUUGAUGGCGAGUGGCGAACGGGUGAGUAAUACAUCGGAACGUGCCCUGUAGUGGGGGAUAACUAGUCGAAAGAUUAGCUAAUACCGCAUACGACCUGAGGGUGAAAGUGGGGGACCGCAAGGCCUCAUGCUAUAGGAGCGGCCGAUGUCUGAUUAGCUAGUUGGUGGGGUAAAGGCCCACCAAGGCGACGAUCAGUAGCUGGUCUGAGAGGACGAUCAGCCACACUGGGACUGAGACACGGCCCAGACUCCUACGGGAGGCAGCAGUGGGGAAUUUGGACAAUGGCGAAAGCCUGAUCCAGCAAUGCCGCGUGUGUGAAGAAGGACCUU